GGAAAAGAAACCAACAGGGAUUGCCCUAGUAACGGCGAGUGAAGCGGCAACUAAUUUGAAAUCUGGCUCCUUCGGGGUCCGAGUUGUAAUUUGCAGAGGAUGCCUCGGGUGCGGGUGCCUUCCGAGUUCCCUGGAACGGGACGCCAUAGAGGGUGAGAGCCCCGUCUGGUCGGACGCCCAGCCCGUGUGAGGCUCCCUCGACGAGUCGAGUAGUUUGGGAAUGCUGCUCUAAGGGGAGGUAUACUCCUUCCAAGGCUAAAUACCGGCUAGAGACCGAUAGCGCACAAGUAGAGUGAUCGAAAGAUGAAAAGCACUUUGAAAAGAGAGUCAAACAGCACGUGAAAUUGUUGAAAGGGAAGCGCUUACUACCAGACUUGGGCUCGGCGGUUCAACCGGCGCCACGCGCCGGGGCACUCCGCCGGCCCAGGCCAGCAUCAGCUCUCCGUCGGGGGCAAAGGCGUCGGGAAUGUAGCUCCCCCUCGGGGGAGUGUUAUAGCCCGGCGUGUCAUACCCUUCGGGGGGCUAGGUACGCGCUUCUGCAAGAAUGCUGGCGUAAUGGUAGCUAGUGACCCGU
rnacentral:rRNA from 1 species